AUCUAUCUAUCUAUAUAUAUAUAAAAUAAAAUUUCUUUAUCCAUUCAUCUGUUGAAAAUGCUGCUAUAAACAUUGAUGUGGCUGCACCACUGAAGUAAGCUGAUUUUGAAUCUGAUGUAACAUUCCUAUGUACAUAUAUAAAUAUACCACAAUGAAUCUCACCAUUGGGUACAUCCACAAUAAUUAAUUUUAAAAAAACUAUGGGUAAAUGGCAGAAAGAUCAUUAUAGGGUAGGCAGCAGGGGUGGGCAGAGGGAAUGGGAAGGAGAGGUACUGGGGUCUGAAUUAGAACAAGAUAUAUUCCACACUUGUAUAAUAAUGUCAAAAUGGAUUGUACUGUUAUGUAUGUCUAAAAGGAACCAAUAAAAAUAAUUUUGCAAUGAAGAAGUGAUAUGUGAAAUUUUAAAAAAUGAACUGACAUAUCACAACAGAACUUGGGAAUUUAAAACCUUAAAUGCACACAUUAGAAAAGCAAGACUACAAAAAUCAAUACAAGCUCUCAUAUGAAGAAGCUAGAAAAACAACAGCAAAUCAAAUGUGAACAGAGAAUGGAGGUAUACAUAGAACACACCCAAGCAAACAUGUAUAAAAGAAAAUGGCAAAUAUUCAA
rnacentral:lncRNA from 1 species